CUUGGACUAACAAGGCGGUAACAGGUAACGGAGAAUUGGGGUUCGAUUCCGGAGAGUCAGCCUGAGAAACGGCUGACAUUUCCACGGAAGGCAGCAGGCGUGAAAAUUACCAAAUCACAAUUUGUGGAGGUAGUUAAUAGACAUAACAGUCCCGGCCAUUUUGGUUUGGGAAUGUAAUGAACUCAGUCUAGACAGCUGGGUGAAAUCCAUUGGAGGGCAAGUCUGGUGCCAGCAGCCGCGGUAAUUCCAGCUCCAAUAGCUUUGUUGAGAGUUGCUGCAGUUAAAAAGCUCGUAGUUGAAUGUCCGGCGUCUAUGACGUCUGCCCGAAUCGACUUUAGAUGCCGAAAGGUUUUUACUGCUCGAUCUGGCGUUUACUGUGAACAAAUUAGCGUGCUCAAGACAGGCUUUUGCUUGAAUUUUCUAGCAUGGAAUAAUGAAAUACGACUUCGCUCAUUUUAUUGGUUAUUGGACGAAGUAAUGGUUAACAGGAACAGUUGGGGGCAUUCGUACUUAAGAGUCAGAGGUGAAAUUCUUAGAUUUCUUAAAGACGAACUAAUGCGAAGGCAUUUGCCAAGGAUGUUUUCAUUAAUCAAGAACGAAAGCGUUGGGAUCAAAAAGGAUCAGAUACCCUUGUAGUCAACGCCGUAAACGAUACUGACUAGGGAUUGGUGAGGCUAACCCUCAUCAGCACCUAAUGAGAAAUCAAAGUCUUUGAGUUCUGGGGAGAGUAUGGUCGCAAGGCUGAAACUUAAAGGAAUUGACGGAAAGAUACACAGGUCGUGGAUUCUGCGGCUUAAUUUGAUUUAACACGGGAAAACUUACGCAGGCAAAAAGCUAAAAGGAUUGACAGCUUGAUAGCACUUUCUUGAUAUGGCAGCGAGUGGUGCAUGGCCGUUCUUAGUUGGUGGAGCGAUUUGUCAGGUUCAUUCCCUUAACGAACGAGAUCUUCACUUGCUAACUAGUCGCUGUUAAAACCUAGCAGUUGACUUCUUAGAAGGACUACGGUCGCAAGCCCGUGGAAGUUGGAGGCAAUAACAGGUCCGUGAUGCCCUCAGAUGUUUGCGGCCGCACGCGUAAUACCAUGAUUGGCACAAUAAGUUUACCUAAUCCGAGAGGAGCUGGGAAAUCUUGAUAAUGCCAAUCGUGCUUGGGAUAGAACCUUGCAAUUGUGGUUCUUGAACGAGGAAUGACUAGUAAGCUGAAGUCACUAACCUCAGCUGAUUACUGUCCCUAUCUUUUGUACACACCGCCCGCCGCUCCCAUCGAUUGAGUGUGCCGACGAGUUCUCCGGAUCGUGUCCUUUGGAUUGCGAGAAGUUGUGCAAGUUGAUACACUUAGAGAAGGGAUAAGGCGUAACAAGGUU
rnacentral:rRNA from 1 species